CGGCAACAGCUCAAAUUUGAAAUCUGGCACCCGCCCGAGUUGUAAUUUGCAGAGGAUGCUUUUGACAAGGUGCCUUCCGAGUUCCCUGGAACGGGACGCCAUAGAGGGUGAGAGCCCCGUCUGGUCGGAUACCGCGUCUCUGUAAAGCUCCUUCGAC
rnacentral:rRNA from 1 species